UGUUUUAAAUAUGGCACUUGCAGGUACCCUGAAGUGUGUAAACAAUGUCCAAAGCCUGAACCAUAUGGUUUUUUGAGAUAUACAGUUCACUACUUCGAUACCAGCACUGAGCGCUGUGAAGAGACCAUUGCAAACAUGGAGACAAGUUGCAACAGCUUUGAAACAUUGGGUGAUUGUGCGCACUUUUGUGGCCUUGAAUAUGAAGAUUACGAAGACGAAUGAUCCUAUAGAAAGCAUCGGGAAUUCCAGAAGUUUAUAUGCGGCGGACAAAUAUCUUCAAAACACAUCUUCUGUCAUCUUUUUUUAUACCAGGAUACCCUGUGGCCUUCAAGAACACCUGCGCCUUUUUUCUGAAACUUCAAAACAAAACACACUUCACCUAAUCCAUCAACUACCACUAUCAUUUUGAAAAUACGGCGCA